rnacentral:rRNA from 1 species
UACGGGGGGGGCAAGCGUUGUUCGGAAUUACUGGGCGUAAAGCGUGCGCAGGCGGUUUUGCAAGCCGGAUGUGAAAUCCCCGGGCUCAACCUGGGAAUGGCAUUCGGGACUGCAAGGCUGGAGUGCGGCAGAGGAGACUGGAAUUCCUGGUGUAGCAGUGAAAUGCGUAGAUAUCAGGAGGAAUACCGAUGGCGAAGGCAGGUCUCUGGGCUGACACUGACGCUCAUGCACGAAAGCGUGGGGAGCAAACAGG